rnacentral:lncRNA from 1 species
GUUUUGAUAACGUUCAUUCGUUCUUGAUAUAUUCAAAUGAAUAUAAAAAACAAACGUUUAUCGGUUUAUUAUUCAAUAGGUAAAUUUGAUGCGGCAAAGUGAAGCUAGAUUGUGUGAAAAGUGAAAAUCACGUGGCGAGGGGUCGAAUUUAAGCCGGCGAAAACAGAUCGUGCGGAAAUAUGUGAAGAACUUGCCUUGAUUCGAAGAUAAUACUUGAAUUAACAGGGCUUCGAUUUGAUCUUCGAAUAAUCCUGAAGUUGAUACCAAAGUUACAACGAUGAUUCAAACGAGCCGCAUUAUCUCACAAUUACUGAGUCGGUGGUAGCACUCAUCGAACGCAGUGAAGUGAGGCUCAGGUGACGAACUGAUGACGAACGAUAAUUGUUGACGGAUCGCACAACGAAUUAGGAAACACGCGUGCCAAUCGUCAUGCGGAUCCGACGGAAAGUGGUCACUGGAGAAUGCAAGAUGUCGGACGGACAGCCGUUUCCUGUAUUUGAGGGUUCGCACGAGAAAGUACUUCGCUGAGCUUGGCAUGCACUGUGGAACAAAGAUCAAUCCAGGGUACAAAGUGUGUAGCAAAUCGGACGUCGUAACAUCGACGUCAACAUCGAUGGCGGACAAAUGUCAAGAGUCGAUCAAAACUGCAGAAUGUUACGAGCGUGUCGCAGGAAUCGGCGCACGCAAGCAUACUAUUGCCACUCUGAUGUGGCUUUGACGAAGAAGCGUAGAUCCGUCACCUACAGGAGUUGGCUGAUACUGGCAAGGGUUGGAAUAUACAGAAAACUGGGCUCUCGUUGAACGACGCAUUUCGUAAUCAAUUCGUCAACUGCGCCACAUAUGCUGCAAACGAUGUCAGCCGUUCUGUACAACAAAUUAGCUGCCAUACAGAUGCGGUGGCGAAUCGUUCGCGAAAAAAUCAUCGGACGACGACGAUGAUUCACUUGGCAGCAAUCCUGGACAGCUAGACGUUGAUUUGAUACGCGUAAAAGGGUGCAAAAAUGCCAAAAAUACUGCACUCCGAUCGCUUCGAGAAAACGGAAAUCAUACAUUGGCUAAAAAGCAAUUGCUACUGUUCGGUUAAAGUGAUCAAGUGAUUCGAUUAAGUUUAAAAUUCCUUCCAGCGGUCGAUAAUCGCGAUAUUUGCCGCUCUUUGGUGGCUCGAAUAUUCACACGAUAAAUUGAAACAAUAUCGCGAAUGUUUACGAAGUUUGUCGACAAGAUUCGAAAAUUUUUAUUUAUUUUCAAUAUUUAAAAAGUGUGAGUUGAAAUUGAUUCGUUGGUUCGUGCGUAAAAUUUUUGCAAUUACUGCGAAAACGAUAAAAGAGGUAAAAAAAAAAAAAAAAAGAAAAGAAAAGAAAAGAUGUUGCAACGCUAAUUGGAAUGGAAAUAAAUGUGAAAAAUAUAACGUAAUAAUAUGUGCGUGUGGUGAAAGUGGUUGAAUAAUGAAAAUCUUUAAUUCGACGAAUGGUGAUUAUCAUGAAAAAGGCUGAUUCGAUUAAUUUUCCAAAAUAAAUCUCGUUUAUAAAGAUUAU